rnacentral:rRNA from 1 species
GGGCCCGCACAAGCGGUGGAGCAUGUGGUUUAAUUCGAUGCAACGCGAAGAACCUUACCUACUCUUGACAUCCAGAGAACUUUCCAGAGAUGGAUUGGUGCCUUCGGGAACUCUGAGACAGGUGCUGCAUGGCUGUCGUCAGCUCGUGUUGUGAAAUGUUGGGUUAAGUCCCGCAACGAGCGCAACCCUUAUCCUUGUUUGCCAGCGAGUAAUGUCGGGAACUCCAGGGAGACUGCCGGUGAUAAACCGGAGGAAGGUGGGGACGACGUCAAGUCAUCAUGGCCCUUACGAGUAGGGCUACACACGUGCUACAAUGGCGCAUACAGAGGGCAGCCAACUUGCGAGAGUGAGCGAAUCCCAAAAAGUGCGUCGUAGUCCGGAUUGGAGUCUGCAACUCGACUCCAUGAAGUCGGAAUCGCUAGUAA